rnacentral:rRNA from 1 species
CAGUCGCCGCGGUAAAACGUAGGGUCCGAGCGUUGUCCGGAAUUACUGGGCGUAAAGAGCUCGUAGGUGGUUUGUCGCGUUGUUCGUGAAAACUCACAGCUUAACUGUGGGCGUGCGGGCGAUACGGGCAGACUAGAGUACUGCAGGGGAGACUGGAAUUCCUGGUGUAGCGGUGGAAUGCGCAGAUAUCAGGAGGAACACCGGUGGCGAAGGCGGGUCUCUGGGCAGUAACUGACGCUGAGGAGCGAAAGCGUGGGGAGCGAACAGGAUUAGAUACCCCUGUAGUCCCUGUCUCUUAUAC